GAAAUGCACGCCGUCGCUAGAUGUGACGUCGCUGGUUGAAAAUCUUUGGUGCUCCCAGAUGCUCAACUCGCUCAGAUAAGCACAGCUAACAGUUUCUUGGCGCUAAACAUACUUUAACAGAACUAGCUGGUUGUAAUACACGUCGCUUCUGCCACAUUUUAUCAGGGGUGUUUCAUUUAAGGCGCAAUGUCGAAGUACGAAGUGUUUCAGAGUCAAACGAUGAUGAUAAUGACAGUGCUAACCGAAACGGCGCACACAGAGAUCUGCAGAGUUUUCGGCCGCCAUCCUGAAUGUUCCGAGGACGACGGAGAUCCAGCGUGUUCGGGGGACGAAGCAGAGCUCAAGAUGCAACUCAGUGCUGUCCUGGAUUUCCUGGCCAAAGAGGCAGUGCGGAAAAUAUGCCGCCUGUUCAAGUUCUGCAGUGUAGUGAAAGUGUCUAAAGGCGGGGACCCAGACAGUGCGUUUGAAAGAGUACCAACUCCAUGGAAUCUGAGGCUGCAAGAGAUAAAACAUGCAGCUGGAUCAACAAGAGUGUCUGGAGUGUCAGUAUCUCUCUCAGGGAAAGUACAGAAUGAGCUGGUGGUUUUUGCAUUACCAGCGGCAGCUCCUCCACAGCAGGACGCCUUUCCAGAAGUAUGUUCAAACCAAUGUAAAUGUAUGUUCAAACCAGCUUGCAUUCAGUGGUUUUGACGAAUCUUUACUAAACCAUAAGUGUCUGAUUGUUAUUUGCUCCUGUUUUGUCCCUUGUAGAGUUCGGCCACCCAGAAGUCUGACUCCGUGAACACCUUUGUCUCUGCUCUACAGGAAGCUGGAGCUAAAAAUCAGACACAAACUGUCUUGAUAACAGCGGGUAUGUUUUGUUUUCUUUCUGGGUAUUUCUGACCAUGUAUUUUGAAAUAAUUGCAGUAUUUAAGUUCAGCACACCCAUUUUAUAUGAGUGUAGCAAUUGAGACAACAGAAAUAAAGCAACUAAAUUAUUAGUGGCUGCAUAUUAUUUGCAGGUACAAAAUUAACAGUUUGUGUGUUACAUUAGAGCUCAGAAGAGCUACCAGUGCCUUUGCCUCUAUUGCACCCUGUGUUACACUAAAAGGUUCCAAACCCAGUACAUCUUGUCAUACAUACUUUUUUUUCCACUGAACGUCAGUGGAGUUUAGAGAUGAUUUUGGAGUUGAAAUGUGAACAGUGCUACAUUCAUGUUAAUAACAAUGCACUCCUCCACUGAAAUGUCAAAAAAGAAACAAGGGUAAGUCUACUGUUAACUCAUUGUCACCAGUUACUCCUAAUGUACUUGAAUGUUGCUAAAGCAAUUUAACUACCACACUUAACAAAGCUUGCUGGGGUGUUUUUGUGUUCUUGCUGGUGUAUUUAUGGUGUAAAUUCAGUGUGCAGCAGUGUUGGUUGCAUAUAGCAAAAUUCAUAUUUCGCCUCCUUAAUGACCUCUUCAUUCAGUGGAGGAACGUUUGUAAGACAAAGCAUAUCUGGUUUGGGCCCAUUUUGUGUACCAUAUGGUGUGACUGGGGCUAGUUCUGGGAAAUCCAGCUUAGACUUGGAAUAUGGGUAAAAUGACAAGUACAGAACAACAGCAUGACUUGGGAGAGCUACCCAGAGUUCUUUGUGAGUUUAGUUUCUGUUAAUUACUUCCAAGUUUUCUCAGUUUUUAUUAGUUACCUUCUUUUUUUGUGCUGUAAAUAAAUUAGAUUUGGAUUCAAGGAUUCAAGGAGAUUUUAUUGUCAUUCGCAUCACAUGGUACAUGAGGUGGAACGAAAUUAAGAUCUCAUGGUCCAGUUUACACCCAAGAGCUGUUAUUAAAAUAGAUAAAUAAAUAGAAAGUACACAAGAGAGGGAGAGUAGGCAGUUAGCAGCAAUAUGAAGUCCAGAGUGCAAGUUUGCUAUAGCAGCAAUCAGUCUUAUUUUAUUAUUUUAUGAUUAUUUUAUGAUUCGAUCAAUUUUAUGUUUUUACUGUAGUAAUUGUAGUCUUUUGUGUGCUGUUUUGCUAGUUCAGCUUGUAUCGCUGCUGUAUAGUUAAAAUGGAUGGAUGAGUCUCAUCAUCAGCAAUGCUUUUGCCAAAACUGCUAAAAUUGUGGGUCGUCAAUAUCACAUGAUGUUAUUGGCCAACUGGUUUGGCUCUAACAUAUUCGUCUAUGUUACUUUACAGUUAAGGUUCCUUCAGUUUUCUGCCUCAGUAUUUGGAUUGGAGAUUCGCUUCUGUAUGUCACAAUGUUUUAUCAACAUAUCAUAAGAAACCAUAAAUGACCAGUAGAUGGCGCAAGCAGACAGUAGAAGUAGUAAAGUAGGCAUGAUUCUUAAGCCUCCCUGUCUUCUAUGUGAAUAGAAACGUCUGGCUGAUGUUGUACUGUCUGUUUAUAUUUAUUUCUUCUAAUGUUGCUGAUUUUUGAUG
ensembl:lncRNA